rnacentral:lncRNA from 1 species
CGGUAUCUUUCAUAACUAGCGGCAGUUGGAUAAAUUUUUUUUCCUAAAAGCAGCUGAAAAGUAGGGAAGAAAAUGCUGUUGGUUUUGUACUAGAACAAAAGUUAUUUUUGACUAAAGCACAUCUGACUUUUAGACCCUUUGGUUGGCUUUUGGCUUUUGCAAAAGCAAAAAUAGGUUGGAAAAUCCAACCAAAGGUAUCCUAAACCAGCUAAAUGUAUCUCUACUACUAAAAAGCCUAAUUGGACGACUCGCCUCGCU